rnacentral:rRNA from 1 species
UACGAAGGGGGCAAGCGUUGUUCGGAAUUACUGGGCGUAAAGCGCACGUAGGCGGAUUUGUAAGUCAGGGGUGAAAUCCCGGGGCUCAACCUCGGAACUGCCUUUGAUACUGCAAAUCUCGAGUCCGGAAGAGGUGAGUGGAAUUCCUAGUGUAGAGGUGAAAUUCGUAGAUAUUAGGAAGAACACCAGUGGCGAAGGCGGCUCACUGGUCCGGUACUGACGCUGAGGUGCGAAAGCGUGGGGAGCAAACAGG